CGAAUGGAAAGGUUUGGAAAUAACGUCAUCCAGGUUAAUUGGAUCGUGGAUUCCUUUGGAUAUUUCUUUCGUUUCUUCGCCAGCACUGCAUCCUCGGUGGGUCACUGAUCACUGCUUGCGGCGUUUGUGUCAAUUUAUGUUAGAUGUGGCAUGUAUAGUAUUUGAAUAUUUGUAAUAGCUUCCGCUGUGUUUGUAAAUAGUGUUGGAACUUUUGCUGAUAGGUUAAUGAAUUAAGUUUGGUUUUUAA